rnacentral:rRNA from 1 species
CCUACGGGAGGCAGCAGUGGGGAAUAUUGCACAAUGGGGGAAACCCUGAUGCAGCGACGCCGCGUGAGUGAAGAAGCGUUUCGGCGCGUAAAGCUCUGUCAGCGGGGAAGAAACACGGUUCGCGAGAGCCGCGGCCGGUACACGACCAAGAAGCCCCGGCGAACUACGUGCCAGCAGCCGCGGUAAGACGUAGGGGGCAAGCGUUAUCCGGAUUCACUGGGUGUAAAGGGAGCGUAGAAGGCGAGACAAGUCUGGAGUGAAAGGCCGGGGCCCAACCCCGGGACUGCACUGGAAACUGGCUGGCUGGAGUCGAGGAGAGGUGAGUGGAAUGCCUAGUGUAGCGGUGAAAUGCGUAGAUAUUAGGAGGAACACCAGGGGCGAAGGCGGCUUACUGGACGGUAACUGACGUUGAGGCUCGAAAGCGUGGGGAGCAAACAGGAUUAGAUACCCCGGUAGUC